rnacentral:rRNA from 1 species
UACGAGGGGGGCAAGCGUUGUUCGGAAUUAUUGGGCGUAAAGGGUGCGUAGGCGGUCUGACAAGUCUGAUGUGAAAUCUAUGGGCUCAACCCAUAGCCUGCAUCGGAAACUGUCGGGCUUGAGUAUGGGAGAGGUGAGUGGAAUUUCCGGUGUAGCGGUGAAAUGCGUAGAUAUCGGAAGGAACGCCGGUGGCGAAAGCGACACACUGGGGUCUCAACUGAACGCUGAGGCACGAAAGCCAGGGGAGCGAACGGG